rnacentral:tRNA from 2 species
GACUCCGUGGCGCAAUGGUAGCGCUUCUGACUCCAGAUCAGAAGGUUGCGUGUUCAAAUCACGUCGCGGUCA